GAUCACCAUCAGCACAGCAGAAUGAGGAACACGCGGCUGAAGCACCAGGAGGAACCUUUGGGGCUGUUUUUCCUUUGGGCAUUCAAUCACCGCGAUGGGACACAAAGGGCUGUCGUUGGUGCUCCCUCAGUGAGGAAGCUUCCUGGAGAGAGCCUUGUUCUGCUGGAAUAGCAGUGCCUGGUGAGAAGGGUCAGCUUGUUAUCCGAUAGAGCCCACGUUGCUUUGGUUCCAGGAUGAAGACUCAGCCUGUUUCAUGGAACCAAACCCCAAUAACUGAUCACAAUCAAUGAUCCAUUACCAUCAGCAGGUAUUCUUUAUUAUAUAGGGACAGAGAACAGUGUUAACACCCAAAGCAGUUUUCUACCUUUGCUUCAGCGUGCAUGUUCAUAUUUCCCAAAGUGUUACAUACUCAUUAGAUGUCCACAAAGCCUGAUACAUGGUCACACUAUUUCCCCAAAUGCCCAUAUCUCUUCCAGGAUCACUGUCUUCCUCCUCUUUCCUUCCUUUCUAUGGUUUCUUUCUUCCAAUUGGCUUUGAGUUGGAGGUCGCACACCCUCAAUUGGGCAGUCCCUCAGGCAGCUUUGGCUGACAGAACUGCAGUGUUCUCACUCAACACAAACAGUGGCUCCUCUUGUUCUCGCUGUGGAUUUCCUUGCUCUGUUUGUGGAAUCGUGGAUUUUAUGCUGUGUAGUAAUUGAUCUAUGAAGCUUAACUCCUGUGGUUACUGUGAGGCGCAGUUCAUCUCUCAAUCCAAGUCUUCAGAUGGUUUUUCUGGAAAAGAAAAAGCAACGGAUGCUGAGGUGGGACAGCUUGUCAUGCCAUGGGAAACCCCGUAUUGCUUUGGUUUGGGGAAGACUCACCCGAUUCUUUAGUAGCUACGACUGGAAAAAAGGAAUAGGAAAGCAAUGCACGAUGAGAUGGGACAGCUUGUCAUCCCACGGAUUGCCCCAUAUUCCUUUGAUUUGGGGACAAAGACUCACCCACUGCUUCAGUUUGUUCUGCUGGAAAAGAGAGAAAAGCACCACACGAUGAGAGGAACAUCUCAUCCCACAGCUCACACAGGAAGACCCCAACGAUUUUAAUAUGGGAGGGGAGACUCACCCAUCUCCUCAUGGCGCUCCUCUGGCAAAGGAGGAGAAAAGCAGUGCAUGGUCAGAGGGGAUUUUUCAUCCCAUACACAGGACUUUGGGAAGACCCCACAUUCCCUCAGUUCAGUGACUGCAACUUACUCAGCUCCGAUUUCUGUUUCUCUGCAAAAAAGAAAGAAGAAGCACCUCAUGAUGAGGUGGCACAGCUUGUCAUCCCAUGGGAAACCCAUAGUCCUUUGGGACGGGGAAGAAGACUCACCUGAUUCUUUAGCUUGUUGCCCUGGAAAAGAAAAACAGUGCAUGAUGAGAGGAACAUCUCAUCCCACAGCUCACACAGGCAGAUCCCCUUUUCUAUUUGAUUUGGGAGGGAGGACUCACCCACUUUUACAGCUGCUGCCUCUGCAAAAGGAACAAAUAAGAAACACAUGAUAAGGUUCAGGUUAUCAUCCCAUGGCUGAUCCCAUGGAAGACCCCAAAUCCCUUUGGUUGGGGAAGAAGACUCACCCAACUUUACAUUCCUUCUCUCUGCAAAGGAAAAUCAGAAACAGUGCAUGAUGGGAGGAACAGCUCAUCCCACAGCUCACACAGGAGGACCCCAACAUUUUUAAUUUGGGAGGGGAGACUCACCCAUCUGUUCAGAGUGUUCCUCUGGAGAAGUAAAUGGAAAGCAGCACAUUGUGAGUGGAACAUCUCAUCCCACAGCACAAAGUCGGACUACUUUUUAUUGAAUUUGGGAGGUUGGACUCACCCAGUUUUGUAACCAGUUUCUCUGCAAAAGAAAGAAAGAUGAAAUUCAUGAUGAGAAGGAUCGGAUGAUCAUCCCAUGGCUGAUCCCAUGGGAAAACUGUAAGUUCCUGCUGUGCAGAGAGGGAGACUUACUCUGUUUUACAGCUCUUGAAUCUGCAAAGGAAAAGCAGAAACAGUGCGUGAUGAGAGGAACAUCUCAUCCCACAGCUCCCAUAGGAAGACACGAAUGUUUUUAAUUUGGGGGGGAGACUCACCCAUAUGCUGGAAGUGUCUGUCUGGAAUAGAAAGAGAAAAGCAGUGCAUGGUCAGAGGGGAUUUUUCAUCCCACAUGCAGGACUUUGGGAAGACCCCACAUUCCUUCAGUUUAGUGGCUGCAACUUACAGAACUGUGAAUGCUGUUUCUCUGCAAAAAGGACAGAAAAAACAGGGCAUGAUGAGGUGGCACAGCUUGUCAUCCCAUGGGAAACCCGUAUUUCUUUGGUUGGGGAAAGAAGACUCACCCAAUUCUUUAGUUUGUCGUCCUGGAAAAGGAAGGGAAAAGCAGCAAAUGACGAGAGGAACAUCUCAUCCCACAGCUCACACAGGCAGACCCCAUUUUUUAUUUAAUUUGGGAGGGGGGGACUCACCCAGUUUGGCAGCUAGUAGCUCUGCAAAAGGAACGAAUAAGAAACGCAUGAUGAGAAGGGUCCGAUUAUCAUCCGAUGGCUGAUCCCAUGGGAAGACCCCAAAUCUGUUUGGUUUGGGAAGAGAGACUCACUCAACGGUACACUCCAUAGCCCUGCAAAGGAAAAUCAGAAACAGUGCAUGAUGAGAGGAAGAGCUCAUCCCACAGCUCACACAAGAAGUCCCCAGCAUUUAUAAUUUUGGAGGGGAGACUCACCCAUCUCUUCAGAGUGUUCCUCUGGAAAAGAAAGGGAAAAGCAACACACAGUGAGAGGAAGAUCCUAUCCCACAGUGAGCCCAGGCAGACCCCCUUUUUUAUUUAAUUUGGGAGGCAGCACUCACCCAGUUCUGCAGCCAGUUCCUCUGCAUAAGGAACAAAUAUAAAAUGCAUGAUGAGAAGGGUCAGAUGAUCAUCCCAUGGCUGAUCCCAUGGGAAGACCCCAAAUUCCUUCAUUGUCGGGAGGGAGACUUACUCAGAUCUGCAACGCCAGAACCUGCGAAGGAAAAGUAGAAACAGAGCGUGAUGAGAGGAACAUCUCAUCCACAGCUCCCACAUGAAGACCCCAAUGUUUUUAAUUUGGGAGAGGAGACUCACCCAUCUCUUCACAGUCUUUCUCUGGGAAAGAAAGAGGAAAAGCAGUGCAUGGUCAGAGGGGAUUUUUCAUCCCAUACACAGUCCCUUGGGGAGACCCCACAUUCCCUCAGUUCUGUGACUGCAACUUACUCAGCUCUGAAUUGCAAUCCUCUGCAAAAAGAAAAAAAAAAAAAGGAAAAAGAAAAAGAAAAAAAGAAAAAGAAAAAGAAAGAAAAAUUCGCACAUGAUGAUGCGGGACAACUUGUCAUCCCAUCAGAGACCCCAUAUUUCUUUGCUUUAGUGAAUGUAGACUCACCCACUUCAUCAGCAUUUUUGUCUGGAAAAUAAAGAGAAAAGCAAUGCAUGAUGAGUGGAACAUCUCCUCCCACAGCUCACACAGGCAGACUCUCUUUACUUUGAGUUUGGGAGGGAGCACUCACUCAGUUUUGAGGCUAAUUCCUCUGCAAAAGAAACCAAUAAGAAAUGCAUGAUGAGAGGGGGCAUAUUUUCAUUCCCCGUCUGACCCCAUGGGAAUACCCCAAAUUCCUUCAGUGUCAGGAGGGACGCUUACUCAGAUUUUCAGCACUUAAACCUGCAACAGAAAGGUAGAAUCAGUGCAUGGUGAGAAGAACAUCCUAUCCCACAGCUCCCCGAGGCACAGCAGAGCAGUGCAUGGUCAGACGGGACAGCUGCUCAUCCCACAGCUGAUGCCAUGGGGAGACCCUGAAUUCCCUCACUUUGGGGAAGGAGACUUACCCAACAUUGCAUCUUUUCUCUCUGCAAAAUAGAAGCAAAAGAAAUGCAUGGUCAGAGGGAACACCUUCUCAUCCCAUGGCUGCUCCCAUACCCAGACCCCAAAUCUUUUCUUUCUAUUAAGAGGCCAAUGACCACUUUGGUCCCAAGAAGGAGUUAAAUGAAUCGGAAGGAACCGAUUGGGCAAGAGUUCUGCAGAGGAUCAAUCAGGAUUGACAGAUCCCACGACCUCAGCACAUCCCAUGGCCCCAACACAUCCCAAGGUCCCAUAGAUCCCAUGGCCCCAGCACAUGGCAUAAACCCAGCACUCUGCAGUCUUCUAUCAGUUCCAUUAAAGGGACUUUGGUGGUGGAAGGGACUGGAAGGACUCACUCAAUGCUCUGCUCUGUGCCGCUGGAAAACAAAGCAGAGGAAGAGGUGGUCAGCAGGACAGCUUGGUUUGUGGUGAUGUCUCCAGAGGGUCUGGACCUUUCCGUCUGCUGCACGGUCCAGCCACAUUCCUAUCUGCCCACCCACACCACUUUCCUUUUUCCCCUUCCUUUGUUCCCCAAAAGAAAGGGAAAUGUUAUUUAAUGAGCAGUGGGAAUGUCAGGAAAAAUCUCCCUUCCUCCUCCUGUGUACCUCCAUGAAUCAGACCUCAGCACCACCCCGACCAUCCCUGUCCAUGAACAACACCUCCCUGUACUCCAUCCCCCCGCUGUCAGCUCACCUUUCUUCCUAUAGAGAAAAACAUUGAUGACAAAUGACCCAACCAGAAGUGUGACAACCACAGCCAGAGCCACCUUCCAGGGAUGGACGAUCUGGGAAAAGAGAUCUGGAAAAAACAUCAGAACAAGGGUUCCUUUUCCAUUGCCUUAUGUGGAGGAGCACGACUUCAACUUCUCGAGAUCACAGAACCCGAAGAGGCAGCAACCAGCGAGCAGUGACACACAAUGGCAGCGUCCCCAUAUUGGCAUGGAUGGAAGAGCUGCUCAGCAUCGUAUGCCCACUACCACUGAGACGUGGAGAAACCCAUCCCAGAAACCCAACCCAACCACCUCAUCCAUGCAGAUCCAUUUUCAAAUCACACCAUGUGCCCGUUCCAACUCCAGCAUCUCAUGGAAAAAUUCAGCCCUGAGCUCUUCCAAAGGCUGCUGUCCUUCAGUUCUCCAUCCAUGGACAUGAAGAUGAGGAUGGACAGAGGUUGGGUGGGACACACAAGCCCAGGGACACCUGGAGAUGUCACCCCAGCCACUGACCUGACACCUCCAGCUCCACAACAGCGUCUGCAUAGCCAUCACCAUCUUGAACAGCACAGCUGUACGAGCCACUGUCAGAGGAGCUCACAGAAGUGAUGCGUAAAUCCAGGUUUCCAUCAGAGAGACCAUCCCUGAGCAGUUCUGUUCUCCCUUUAUAUUCCUCCAUCUGCCCCAGGUCCACUCCAUCUUCGUAGUGGUGCACAAUCCCAGAGGACCGCAGCUGUAUCCAUCUGAUGUCUGAGCUCCAGGCAUCCUUGCAAGGGGACAACUGGCAGCGCAGCACGACAUCCUGUCCCACGUUGGCAGUGACACGGAGGCUCGGUGCUACCACUGUAAGCUGAGCUGUGCAAUGAGAAGGGCACGGAGAGAUGCUUCCUGGAGAGAGCCUCGUUCUGCUGGAAUAGCAGUGCCUGCCUCCUGGAGAGAGCCUUGUUGUGCUGGAAUAGCAGCGCCUGGUGAGAAGGGUCAGCUUGUUAUCCGAUAGAGCCCACGUUGCUUUGGUUCCGGGAUGAAGACUCAGCCUGUUUCAUGGAACCAAACCCCAAUAACUGAUCACAAUCAAUGAUCCAUUGCCAUCAACAGAGAAAAGCAAUGAUGACAAAUGACCCAACCAGAAGUGUGACGAUCACAGCCAGAGCCACCUUCCAGGGAUGAAGGAUCUGGGAAAAGGGAUCUGGAAAAAACAUCAGGAAAAUAGUUCCUUUUCCACUGCCUUAUGUGGAGAAGCAUGACUUUGACUUCUCGAGAUCACAGAACCCAAAGGGGCAGCAACCAGGGAGCAGUGACACACAAUGGCAGCGUCCCCAUAUUGGCACAGGCAGAGGAGCUGCUCAGCAUCAUGUGCCCACUGCCACUGAGCCAUGGAGAAAGGCAUCCCAGAAACCCAACCCAACCACUUCAUCCAUGCAGACUUAUCCACAAAUCAAACUGCACCCGCUGCAACUCCAGCAUCUCAAGGAGCAAUUCAGCCCCAACCUCUUCCAAAGGCUGCUGUUCUUCAGUUCUCCAUCCAUGGACGUGAGGAUGAGAAUGGACAGAGGUCGGAUGGGACACACAAACCCAGUGACACCUGGAGACAUCACCCCAGCCACUGACCUGACACCUCCAGGUCCACCACAGCGUCUGCAUAGCCAUCACCAUCCUGCACAGCACAGCUGUAUGAGCCACUAUCGGAGGAGCUCACAGCAGUGAUGCGCAAAUCCAGGUUUCCAUCAUAGAGACCAUCCCUGAGCAGUUCUGUUCUCCCUUUAUAUUCCUGCAUUUGCUCCAGGUCCUCUCCAUUUUGGUAGUGGUGCACAAUCCCAGAGGACCGCAGCUGUAUCCAUCUGAUGUCUGAGCUCCAAGCAUCCUUGCAAGGGGACAAGUGGCAGCGCAGCACGACAUCCUGUCCCACGAUGGCAGUGACACGGAGGCUCGGUGCUACCACUGUAAGCUGAGCUGUGCAAUGAGAAGGUCAUGGAGAGAUGGUGAGAUGGUGGCUGUGUUAAUGUGGGGACAUGGAGCGGCACAGGCUCAUUGGAGGGAGCCUUGUUCAGUUGGAAACGCCACGCAUGGUGAGAAGGGUCGGCUUCUUAUCCGACAGCCAGAGCCCCUUUGGUUCCGGGAUGAAGACUCAGCCUGUUCCAAGGAACCAAACCCCAAUAACUGCUCACAAUCAAUGAUCCAUUGCCAUCAGCAGGUAUUCUUUAUUAUAUAGGGACAGAGAACAGUGCUAACACCCAAAGCAGUUUUCUACCUUUGUUUCUGCGUGCAUGCUUGUAUUUACAAAAACAUGACAUAUUCGUUAGAUGUCCACAAAGCCUGAUACACGGUCACACUAUUUCCCCAAAUGCCCAUAUCUCUUCCAGGAUCUCUGUCUCCCUCCCCUUUCCUUCCUUUCUAUGGUUUCUUUCUUCCAAUUGGCUUUGAGUUGGAGGUCGCACACCCUCAAUUCGGCGGUCCCUCAGGCAGCUUUGGCUGACAGAACUGCAGUGUUCUCACUCAACACAAACACUGGCUCCUCUUGUUCUCGUGGAUUUCCUUGCUCUGUUUGUGGAAUCGUGGAUUUUAUGCUGUGUAGUAAUUGAUCUAUGAAGCUUAACUCCUGUGGUUACUGUGAGGCGCAGUUCAUUUCUCAAUCCAAGUCUUCAGAUGGUUUUUCUGGAAAAGAAAUAAAAAGGAACGGAUGCUGAGGUUGGACAGCUUGUCAUGCCAUGGGAAACCCCGUAUUGCUUUGGUUUGGGAAAGACUCACCCGCUUCUUCAGUAUCUACCACUAGAAAAAAGGAAUAGGAAAGCAAUGCACGAUGAGAUGGGACAGCUUGUCAUCCCAUGGAUUGCCCCAUAUUCCUUUGGUUUGGGGACAAAGACUCACCCACUGCUUCAGUUUGUUCUGCUGGAAAAGAGAGAAAAGCAUCGCAUGAUGAGAGGAACAUCUCAUCCCACAGCUCACACAGGAAGACCCCAACGAUUUUAAUAUGGGAGGGGAGACUCACCCAUCUCCUCAUGGCGCUCCUCUGGCAAAGGAGGAGAAAAGCAGUGCAUGGUCAGAGGGGAUUUUUCAUCCCAUACACAAGACUUUGGGAAGACCCCACAUUCCCUCAGUUCAGUGACUGCAACUUACUCAGCUCCGAUUUCUGUUUCUCUGCAAAAAAGAAAGAAGAAGCACCUCAUGAUGAGGUGGCACAGCUUGUCAUCCCAUGGGAAACCCAUAGUCCUUUGGGACAGGGAAGAAGACUCACCUGAUUCUUUAGCUUGUUGCCCUGGAAAAGAAAGAGAAAAUAAUGCGUGAUGAGAGGAACACCUCAUCCCACAGCUCACACAGGCAGAUCCCCUUUUGUAUUUAAUUUGGGAGGGAGGACUCACCCAGUAUUACAGCUGGUAUCUCUGCAAAAAGAACAAAUAAGAAAUAUGUGAUAAGGUUCAGGUUAUCAUCCCAUGGCUGAUCCCAUGGAAGACCCCAAAUCCCUUUGGUUGGGGAAGAAGACUCACCCAAAUUUACAUUCCUUCUCUCUGCAAAGGAAAAUUAGAACCAGUGCAUGAUGGGAGGAACAGCUCAUCCCACAGCUCACACAGGAGGACCCCAAUAUUUUUAAUUUGGGAGGGGAGACUCACCCAUCCAUUCAAAGUGUUCCUCUGGAAAAGUAAAAGGAAAGCAGCACAUGAUGAGAAGAACGUCUCAUCCCACAGCUCACAAAGUCUGACUGCUUUUAAUUUAGUUUGGGAGGUUGGACUCACCCAGUUUUGUAACCAGUUUCUCUACAAAAGAAAGAAAGACGAAAUUUAUGAUGAGAAGAGUCGGAUGAUCAUCCCAUGGCUGAUCCCAUGGGAAAACUGUAAGUUCCUUCAGUGCAGGGAGGGAGACUUACUCUGGUUUACAGCACUUAAAUCUGCAAUGGAAAAGCAGAAGGAGUGUGUGAUGAGAGGAAAAUCUCAUCCCACAGCUCCCAUAGGAAGACCCCAGCGUUUUUAAUUUGGGGGGGAGAGACUCACCCAUACGCUGAAAGUGUCUGUCUGGAAUAGAAAGAGAAAAGCAGUGCAUGGUCAGAGGGGAUUUUUCAUCCCGUAUGCAGGACUUUGGGAAGACCCCACAUUCCUUCAGUUUAGUGACUGCAACUUACGGAACUGUGAAUGCUGUUUCUCUGCAAAAAGGACAGAAAAAACAGGGCAUGAUGAGGUGGCACAGCUUGUCAUCCCAUGGGAAUCCCGUAUUUCUUUGUUUGGGGAAAGAAGACUCACCCAAUUCUUUAGUUUGUUGUGCUGGAAAAGGAAGAGAAAAGUAGUACAUGAUGAGAGGAACAUCUCAUCCCACAGCUCACACAGGCAGACCCCAUUUUUUAUGUAAUCUGUGAGGGGGGACUCACCCAGUUUGGCAGCUAUAUUAUCUGCAAAAGGAACCAAUAAGAAAUGCAUGAUGAGAAGGGUCCGAUUAUCAUCCCAUGGCUGAUCCCAUGGGAAGACCCCAAAUCUGUUUGGUUUGGGAAGAGAGACUCACUCAACUUUACAUUCCUUCUCCCUGCAAAGGAAAAGCAGAAACAGUGCAUGAUGAGAGGAAGAGCUCAUCCCACAGCUCACACAAGAUUUCCCCAGCAUUUAUAAUUUCGGAGGGGAGACUCACGAUUCACUGCAAUAUAUUCCUCUGGAAAAGAAAGGGAAAAGCAACACACAGUGAGAGGAAGAUCCUAUCCCACAGCGAGCCCAGGCAGACCCCCUUUUUUAAUUUAAUUUGGGAGGCAACACUCACCCAAUUUUGCAGCCAGUUCCUCUGCAAAAGGAACGAAUAUGAAAUGCAUGAUGAGAGGGGUCAGAUGAUCAUCCCAUGGCUGAUCCCAUGGGAAGACCACAAAUUCCUUCCGUGCUGGUAGGGAGACUUACUCAGAUCUGCAACGCCAGAACCUGCAAAGGAAAUGUAGAAACAGUGCGUGAUGAGAGGAACAUCUCAUCCACAGCUCCCACAUGAGGACCCCAACGUUUUAAUUUUGGGAGGGGGGACUCACCCAUCUCUUCACAGUCUUUCUCUGGGAAAGAAAGAGAAAAGCAGUGCAUGGUCAGAGGGGAUUUUUCAUCCCAUGCACAGUCCCUUGGGAAGACCCCACAUUCCCUCAGUUCAGUGACUGCAACUUACUCAGCUCUGAAUUGCAAUCCUCUGCAAAAAAAAAAGACAGAAGAAGCACCAAAUGAUGAUGCGGGACAGCUUGUCAUCCCUUGGGAGACCCCAUAUUUCUUUGCAUUAGUGAAUGUAGACUCACCCACUUCGUCAGCAUUUUCGUCUGGAAAAUAAAGAGAAAAGCAAUGCACGAUGAGUGGAACAUCUCAUCCCACAGCUCACACAGGCAGACUCUCUUUACUUUGAGUUUGGGAGGGAGCACUCACUCAGUUUUGAAGCUAAUUUCUCUGCAAAGGUAAGAAAUAGGAAAUGCAUGAAGAGAGGGGGCCAUGUUUUCAUUCAAUGGCUGAUCCCAUGGGAAGACCCCAAAUUCCUUCAGUGUCAGGAGGGACACUUACUCAGAUUUUCAGCACUUAAACCUGCAAUGGAAAGGUAGAAUCAGUGCAUGGUGAGAAGAACAUCCUAUCCCACAGCUCCCCAAGGCAGAACAUUUGAAAGAAUACAAUUGGGAAUGGAGACUCACCCGAUAUCUCAUCUAGUUCCGCUGGAAAAGAAAGAGCAGAGCAGUGCAUGGUCAGAGCGGACAGCUGCUCAUCCCACUGCUGAUGCCAUGGGGACACCCUGAAUUCCCUCACAUAUGGGGAGGAGACUUACCCAACGCUGCAUCUUUUCUCUCUGCAAAAUAGAAGCAAAUGAAAUGCAUGGUCAGAGGGGACACGUUUCCAUGCCAUCAGCUCCCACACCCUGACCCCAAACCCUUUUUUCUGGGAUGUGGCCAAUGACCACUUUGGCCUCAAGAAGGAGUUAAAUGAAUCGGAAGGAACCGAUUGGGCAAGAGUUCUGAAGUGGAUCAAUCAGGGUUGACAGAUCCCACGACCCCAGCACAUCCCACGGCCCCAACACAUCCCAAGGUCCCAUAGAUCCCAUGGCCCCAGCACAAGGCAUAAACCCAGCACUCUGCAGUCUUCUAUCAGUUCCAUUAAAGGGACUUUGGUGGUGGAAGGGGCUGGAAGGACUCACUCAGCUCUCUGCUCUGUGCCGCUGGAAAACAAAUUGGAGGAAGAGGUAGUCAGCAGGGCAGCUUGGUUUUGGGGACGUCCCCCGAGGGUCUGGACCUUUCCACCUGCCCCACGGUCCACCCACUUUCCUAUCUGCCCACCCACACUUCUUUUUUUCCUUCCUUCAUUCCCCAAAAGAAAGGCAAAUGUUAUUUAAUGGGCAGUGGGAAUGUCAGGAAAAAUCUCCCUUCCUCCUCCUGUGUACCUCUGUACACCAGAGCUCAGCACCACCCCGACCAUCCCUGUCCAUGAACAACACCUCCCUGUGCUCCAUCCCCUCCGCUCUCAGCUCACCUUUCUUCCUACAGAGAAAAACAAUGAUGACAAAUGACCCAACGAGAAUUGUGACGACCACAGCCAGAGCCACCUUCCAGGGAUGGACGAUCUGGGAAAAGGGAUCUGGAAAAGACAUCAGGACAAGGGUUCCUUUUCCACUGCCUUAUGUGGACAAACACGACUUCGACUUCUGGAGAUCACAGAACCCGAAGGGACAACAACCAGGGAGCAGUGACACACAAUGGCAGCGUCCCCAUAUUGGCACAGGCGGAGGAGCUGCUCAGCAUCGUGUGCCCUCUGCCACUGAGAUGUGGAGAAACCCAUCCCAGAAACCCAACCCAACCACCUCAUCCAUGCAUAUCCAUUUUCAAAUUACACCAUGUGCCCGAUCCAACUCCAGCAUCUCAUGGAGCUGUUCAGCCCUGAGCUCUUCCAAAGGCUGCUGUCCUUCAGUUCUCCAUCCAUGGAUGUGAGGAUGAGGAUGGACAGAGGUCGGAUGGGACACACAAACCCAGGGACACCUGGAGACAUCACCCCAGCCACUGACCUGACACCUCCAGGUCCACCACAGCGUCUGCAUAGCCAUCACCAUCCUGCACAGCACAGCUGUAUGAGCCACUAUCGGAGGUGCUCACAGCAGUGAUGCGCAAAUCCAGGUUUCCAUCAUAGAGACCAUCCCUGAGCAGUUCUGUCCUCCCUUUAUAUUCCUGCAUUUGCUCCAGGUCCUCUCCAUUUUGGUAGUGGUGCACAAAACCAGAGGACCGCUGCAGGAUCCAUCUGAUGUCCAAUCUCCAAGCAUCCUUGCAAGGGCACAAGUGGCAGCGCAGCACGACAUCCUGUCCCACGAUGGCAGUGACACGGAGGCUCGGUGCCACCACCCUGAGCUGGGCUGGGCAAUGAGAAGGGCACGAAGAGAUGGUGAGAUGGUGUCUGUGUUAAUGUGGGGGCAUGGAGCGGCACAGGCUUCCUGGAGAGAGCCUUGUUGUGCUGGAAUAGCAGCGCCUGGUGAGAAGGGUCAGCUUGUUAUCCGAUAGAGCCCACGUUGCUUUGGUUCCGGGAUGAAGACUCAGCCUGUUUCAUGGAACCAAACCCCAAUAACUGAUCACAAUCAAUGAUCCAUUGCCAUCAACAG